UUACGGCCAUAUCACGUUGAAACACGUGUUCUCGCACGAUCACCGAAGUUAAGUAAAGUCGAGCCUGGUCGGUACUUAGAUGGGUGACCGCUUGGAAAUACCAGGUGCUGUAAG
rnacentral:rRNA from 1 species